CCUACGGGUGGCUGCAGUGAGGAAUAUUGGUCAAUGGGCGGGAGCCUGAACCAGCCAAGCCGCGUGAAGGAAGAAGGCGCCAAGCGUCGUAAACUUCUUUUGUCGGGGAACAAAGGGCGCCACGUGUGGCGUUGUGAGUGUACCCGAAGAAAAAGCAUCGGCUAACUCCGUGCCAGCAGCCGCGGUAAUACGGAGGAUGCGAGCGUUAUCCGGAUUUAUUGGGUUUAAAGGGUGCGUAGGCGGUCCGUUAAGUCAGCGGUAAAAUUGCGGGGCUCAACCCCGUCGAGCCGUUGAAACUGGCAGACUUGAGUUGGCGAGAAGUACGCGGAAUGCGCGGUGUAGCGGUGAAAUGCAUAGAUAUCGCGCAGAACUCCGAUUGCGAAGGCAGCGUACCGGCGCCAGACUGACGCUGAGGCACGAAAGCGUGGGGAUCGAACAGGAUUAGAUACCCGAGUAGUC
rnacentral:rRNA from 1 species